rnacentral:miRNA from 1 species
UCGAUGCGAUCCCUUGGGAAGU